GUCCGUGAACAUUCUCCGCAGAACUGCGCAGGAUGUCCACGGAUCAGAGAAGCAGAGAAGUCAAGGUGAAGGACAUCGGAAAGCUGUUGCAAUCAG
rnacentral:ribozyme from 1 species